UUUUAUGAGAGUUUGAUCCUGGCUCAGGACGAACGCUGGCGGCGUGCCUAAUACAUGCAAGUAGAACGCUGGAGUCUGGUGCUUGCACUAGACGGAUGAGUUGCGAACGGGUGAGUAACGCGUAGGUAACCUGCCUCAUAGCGGGGGAUAACUAUUGGAAACGAUAGCUAAUACCGCAUAACAGUAUUUACCGCAUGGU
rnacentral:rRNA from 1 species